rnacentral:rRNA from 1 species
AGUCGAACGAAGAAUGUUUUUCGGAAUAUUCUUAGUGGCGGACGGGUGAGUAACGCGUGAACAAUCUGCCCCGUACAAAGGGAUAGCCUCGGGAAACCGGGAUUAAAACCAUAUAACACUUAACUGCCGCAUGGUAGUGAAGUCAAAUCGAGUAAGAGGUAUGGGAUGAGUUCGCGUCUGAUUAGCUAGUUGGUGAGGUAAGGGCUCACCAAGGCGACGAUCAGUAGCCGGCCUGAGAGGGUGAACGGCCACACUGGAACUGAGACACGGUCCAGACUCCUACGGGAGGCAGCAGUGGGGAAUAUUGCACAAUGGAGGGAACUCUGAUGCAGCGACGCCGCGUGAGUGAAGAAGGUCUUCGGAUCGUAAAACUCUGUCCUUGGUGAAGAAAAGGACGGUAGCCAAGGAGGAAGCCCCGGCUAACUACGUGCCAGCAGCCGCGGUAAUACGUAGGGGGCGAGCGUUGUCCGGAUUUACUGGGCGUAAAGGGUGAGUAGGCGGUUAUAUAUGUCAGGUGUAAAAAGCUAUGGCUUAACCAUAGUAAGCACUUGAAACUGUAUGACUUGAGUGCAGGAGAGGUAAGCGGAAUUCCUAGUGUAGCGGUGAAAUGCGUAGAUAUUAGGAGGAACACCGGUGGCGAAGGCGGCUUACUGGACUGUAACUGACGCUGAGUCACGAAAGCGUGGGUAGCAAACAGGAUUAGAUACCCUGGUAGUCCACGCUGUAAACGAUGAGUGCUAGGUGUUGGGCAGCGAUAUUCAGUGCCGGAGUAAACACAAUAAGCACUCCGCCUGGGGAGUACGGUCGCAAGACUGAAACUCAAAGGAAUUGACGGGGACCCGCACAAGCAGCGGAGCAUGUGGUUUAAUUCGAAGCAACGCGA